AGACAUCCACCUUUACUCGGAUCGUCCGGCACGUUCCUGCCGGUGAAGGAGAACACA
rfam:Streptomyces sp. CB03911 scaffold2, whole genome shotgun sequence.